rnacentral:lncRNA from 1 species
GGACAAGUCAUCUUAGGUAGAGAGAACUGUAUUAACCAAGCCACUGGGACGUGAAAGAGCACAGAAUGGUCAGAGAUGGGUGAGGCUGGAGAUGAACAGGCUGCAAAAAAGCAACCCCAUUACUGCUGAGCCUUUGAGCAGCUUCUAGCCAUGCAAUCCCAGAAGAAUCACCGUACGAUGUCGAACCCCACCACGUGAGACAGUGAAGCUUUGUGAUAAUGAAGAAGAAGGCCUUGAAAAUCCAGUGGGAAAAUCCUGAACAAUGUGAUCUGGUAGAAAGAACAUUAACUUUAGAGCCAGACAGAAUUGGAUUCUAAAGCUGCCUCAACUACUUACUUCGACAGACUACUAAUUGCACGGCCUCGGGCAAG